CCAGUUCCGUUCCCUCCAAUUUUCCCAAUAUGCCUUUCCCGCGGGUUCUUCGAAUACUGAUGAUCCGACCCUUCAACGUCGGAGCUAUGUUAGAUCCAACCAUUUUAGCAUCAGCGAUACGUGUACUACAAUAAGAUGAAGGAGAAGAACAUCUUCAAGUGUCUAUUUACUCGCAAACUCAUGGCCGUCGAAGCCUCCAUCGAUUGCGCCGAGAGAAAUGGGGAUUCUAUGACCGUGAAAGAUGGUCACAUUCGUAGAUUGGAGCUGUCUCUUACAGGGUUAGGGUUAGGGAUUUGGAAUCAUGUUCUUCUCUGAUGUGUUGAUGUAUUCUCAAUGGAUGUCAUAUUCAAAUCAUGUUUGAAUAAGUGGAUCGUUUACCGGACAUUUUAAUUUA